rnacentral:rRNA from 1 species
UACAGAGGGGGCAAGCGUUGUUCGGAAUUACUGGGCGUAAAGGGCGCGUAGGCGGCCUGUUAAGUCGAACGUGAAAUCCCCGGGCUCAACCCGGGAACUGCGUCCGAUACUGGCAGGCUUGAAUCCGGGAGAGGGAUGUGGAAUUCCAGGUGUAGCGGUGAAAUGCGUAGAUAUCUGGAGGAACACCGGUGGCGAAGGCGGCAUCCUGGACCGGUAUUGACGCUGAGGCGCGAAAGCCAGGGAAGCAAACGGGG